CACUGUCGGACAGAAAGACCCUAUGAAGCUUGACUGUAGCUUGUAAUUGAAUUCGGGCUUUUUUCGCGCAGCCUAGGUGGGAGGCAACGAUGAUUUUUUUCCGGAAAAAUUUAAGCCGUUAGUGAGAGACCACUCUGAAAAGGCUAGAAUCCUAAUAAUGAUCCUUGAAUCAGGACAUUUGACAGUUGCAGGUGGGCAGUUUUACUGGGGCGGUAUUCUCCUAAAAAGUAACGGAGGGGUGCAAAGGUUCCCUCAAGCUGGACGGAAAUCAGCUUAAGAGUGUAAAGGCAAAAGGGAGCUUGACUGCAAGACCUACAAGUCGAGCAGGGGCGAAAGCCGGCCUUAGUGAUCCGACGGUACCACGUGGAAGGGCCGUCGCUCAACGGAUCUCUUGGCUCCAGCAUCGAUGAAGAACGCAGCGAAACGCGAUAUGUAAUGUGAAUUGCGAAUUCAGUGAAUCAUCGAAUCUUUGAACGCACAUGGCGCCUUCCAGUAUCCUGGGGGCAUGCCUGUCCGAGCGUCGUUUCAACCCUCGAGCCCCUGUGGCCCGGCGUUGGGGAUCUGCACGGCAGGCCCCUAAAACCAGUGGCGGACCCGAAGGGCCUCUCCUUUGCGCAGUAGCAUUCGCCUCGCAUCGGGAGUCCUCGGCGUCCUGCCUCUAAACCCCCCACAAGCCCGCUUCGGCGGCACCAAGGUUGACCUCGGAUCAGUAGGAAUACCCGCUGAACUUAA
rnacentral:rRNA from 1 species